rnacentral:lncRNA from 1 species
GAAGCCUCGCCUUGCUCUUUCCCAGUCUCCCUUUUCUAUUAUACACUGCCCGCUUUCUUCUCCUGAUCCUCCACCAGCUUCGCCCCCCAGCCUUCCAACGGAUUUCCGUGCUUCCUGUUCCCGCGGCAGACAUAUGCUCGGUUGAAGCUGGAUUUAGAAAGGGACAUAAGGCUCAGCUAAGGUAAGGAAAGACCCUGACCAUCUAGGUCACCAAGUACUCUUAUUUUUUAGGGAGUCGGAGACGAUCGAAGAGGCAGCAAAAUAGGAACUUUCGAUCAGGGAGAGCUCAACAAGGUCGAGACCAAGAUGAUGGAUAUUCCAAGGAAGAUCGAAGAAGAUGAAUGAAGGUUUAUACCUACCCCUAACUGGCACUAUGAAUCCAAUCCCAUCUACAUA